AAGUAGUCCCUGCUCGCCACAACUAGAGAAAGCCCACACACAGGAUGAAGCCCCAAUGUAGCCAAAAAUCAAUCAAUAAAUUUAUUUUUUAAAAAAAUCAAGGCACGAUCCAUGAAAGAGAUAAUUGAUAAACAGGCUUCACUAAGAUUUAAAAGUUCUCUGCAGAAGACAAGGUCAAGAAAAUGGGAAGAUAAGCCACAGACUGGAAGAAAAUAUUUGCAAAAUACACAUCCAAUAAAGGACUGUUAACCAAAAUAGAGAAAGAACUCUUAAAAUUCCACAGUAAGAAAACAUACAACCCAACUGAAAAAUGAGCCAAAGACUUCACAGACACCUCACUAAAGGAGAUACAUAGAUGGCAACUGAGGACAUGAAAAGAUGCUCCACAUCAUAUGUCAUCAGGGAAAUUAAAACAACAGUGAGAGACCACCACACAGCUGUUAGAGUGGCUGGAAUCCAGACACCAAUAGCACCAAACGCUGCUGAGGUUGUGGAGCAACAGGAACUCUCAUCCAUUGUUAAUGGGGAUGCAAAAUGGUGCAGCCAAUUUGGGAGGAAGAUUCUUACAAAACUAAACAUACUCUUAGCAUAUGAUCCAGCAAUUGUGCUCCUUGGUAUUUACCCAAAGGAGUUGGAAACUUCUGUCCGUACAAAACCUGCACAUGGAUGUUUAUGGUAGGUUUAUUCAUAAUUGCCAAAACGGAAGCAACCAAGAUGUCCUUUCGUACGUGAAUGAAUAAACAAACUGUGGUCCAUCCAGGCAAUGGGAUAUUAUGUAGAGCUAAAAAGAAAUGACCUAUCGAGCCAUGAAAAGCCAUGGACGAGCCUUAAAUGCAUGUGACUAAGUGAAAGAAGCCAGUCUGAAAAGGCUAAAGACUGUGUGAUUCCAACUAUGACAUUCUGGAAAAGGCAAAACUAUGGAGACAGUAAAAAGAUCAGUGGUUAUGGGGGUGGGGUUGGGGGAUCGUGGAAUAGGCAGAACCCAGAGGGUUUUUAGGGCCGUGGAAAUACUCUGUAUGAAACCAUAAUGAUGAUACAUGUCAUUAUCCUUUUGUCCAAACCAACAGAUGGUACAGCACCAAAGUGAAGCCUAGGAGAACUGUGGGCUGCGGGCGAUGGUGCUGGGUCAGUGCAGGUGCGUCGACUGUAAAAAACGUCCCGUUCUGGGAGGGGGUAUGGAUAGUGGGCCAGUCUGUGGGGCGGGGGGGACGUGAGAAUUCUCUGUACCUUCCUCUUUACUGCCAACCCACAGCUGCUCUAAAAGCAGGCUUGUACACUUUAAAUGUAUACAAUUUUAUUUGUCCAUUAUACCUGUGGAGGGGGAGCUGCAAGAAAUGCAAACAAUGUGUUAGAUGAAUGAAGAAAAACGGAAAAGAAACAGUAUUCCCACAGCAUCUUCAAAAUUGCUAGUAAGUUUUUCAGGUUAAUCUCCUUUUCAAUGCAGUUAUUAAGACUGAUUAUCAUUUACGUAUAGAAAAGCCACUGUCUUUUGAAACAUUAGUAAUUCCAGCUUACUAGGCUCUUACUAUGUUUAAAACUGCUCCCAUUAACUUCCUCGAGUUGUCCAGGUGUACAGUCCCGUCAUCUAACAGUCAUCUCAUUUCUUCUUUCCUGUACGUUAUGUCACUUAUUACAGUCUCCUGUCUGAUUGCCUCUCCUGGCACUCCCUGACUGUUUCCCGUUCAGGUGAGAAGCGGUGGGGAAGGAGGGCAUCGGAGCAAACGUGUUCAGUUACGUGUGCUUUCAACCUUGUCAAGUGUGUGGUGGCGUCUCACGCUUAUCUUUGGCGUAUCCCACCAUCCAAAAGCACACUGUCGAGUUUAUUUCCUGUAGUCGAUUUUACAAAGGAUAGUCCCACGGACGCCAUGGCCCCCAGCCUGUGUCCCCUGCCCCGCCUCCACCUCUGCCUUUCACGCCCCCUUGGUGUCCAGGUUCUGCACACGGCCAGCCCCCCGCCUCUGCUCCCUGCCUUUUCAGAUGCUGCCGCGGUUCCUGCUUUCUCCUUUCUCACUGUUUCUCAUCGAGAGGACUCCUUUACCUCAGCCACCCGGCCCGGAGGUGUGCACCACGGUGGCCCUGGCUGAAUGGCUGUGCUUCCCAGUCUGUGGUUCAGAGGUAAACACAGCCAGACUCCAGCCUGGGAAAGCUCGCGUUCGGCGUCAGACCGCGCCUUCCAGUGACUCGCCCCCUUGCGAAGUGGGUGUUGGAGUGGCUGCUGGCAUAAGAAGCCAGUACUUGCCAGGACCGACCGAAGGCCACGCGUCCACCCUGGAAAGACUCCGCCGGGCCCACGUCCCGGUCGUCCACAGACGUGUCCUGUCACAUCCCAGUGCCACGUGGGCCCUGCCAGUGUCGCCAGGUUGAGGGUCAUGGAGACUGAGAGCCCCCAGGGAGGGCGAUCCCAGCACCGCAGUUCAGCAGCUUGAAGAUGCUCGUUAUUUGAGGUUUCAACAUCUCUGAAUUUGGGGUGUCUUAUGGUCAGGGAUGUGUGUCUCUUUAUCCGUCUCUUCACUCCUUAGGGGCCGUGAAAUAACUGCACUAUUAUGGUUGGGGGGGUCUUAGAUGUGUUGGAAUAGGUGACUCAAUUCACAGGCAGUGUCUCGGGUUUGGGUGCUGGGGUCCUCCCGCAGCCCACCCUGCCCUGAGUGUGGUCCUAGGAGCUUCAAGUAGAAAACAGACCCAGCCGCCGUGCAUCUCCUGGAGGGGUCCAGGUUCUGAGAGCUCCCGGGUGCAGAGGCCAUGUGGUCCGAGUCUGGAAAGUGGGCUGGGGCCAGGGGACAGGACACGCGGGAAGAACCGCCCCCACUUGGGGAGAAGACAAGACGGGGGCCGCAGCGGCUUGGUCAGGGGCAAACAGCACUUCUCAGACAAACGUCAAGUAAUCAGGGCCCGGCUGGAGGAUGUGGAGCUGCACGGGUGCCGCCAUGGGCUGAACUGUGCCCCCAAAAUUGUAUGUUGGAGCGCUGGUCCCAGCACAGAAUGUGGCUGCAUUUGGAGACUGAGCCUUCAGUGAGGUGGUUGCAUUAUAACGAGGCUGUUUGGGUGGCCCUCGUUGCACAGGGCUCGAGAUGCACUUGCAGCGGGAGGGCCGCAUGAGGACACAGCCAGCAGGCGGCCGUCUGCAGGGCAAGGCGAGAGGCCUCCCAGAAACCAGCCCUGCCGGCAUCCUGAUCUUGGAGCCCCAGCCUCCGCGACUAAGGGCAGGGAAGCCUCUCUGCUUAAGCCCCGGGGCUGUGGUGUUCUGCUGUGGCAGCCCGAGCAGACGGGUGCAGAUACAUACAUGAACGUUUGGAGGAUUCCAUUCCAAAAUAGAAAUGGCGACCGCAGGUGGUGGGGUCAUGAUGACUGCAGAUUUUUGACUGAGUUAUUGUUGCUAAGUUUCUCAACUAACUUGUGUUACGUGUUUAAUACAAACACGUACAAAUUGAACAUAAACACUGAGGAAGAAUCACCUCACACCUAUCAGAAUGGCUGUCAUAAAAAAGAACAAAAAUGGGGACUUCACUGGCGGUCCAGUGGUUAGGACUCCAAGCGUCUACCUCUGGGGACACAGGUUUGAUCCCGGGUCGGGGAACUAAGAUCCUGCAUGCCGCGCAGCCCAGGCCGAAAACAAACAAAACCCCACAAAUAAAAAAAUGUUCGCAGGGCUUCCCUGGUGGCACAGUGGUUAAGAAUCUGCCUGCCAAUGCAGGGGACAUGGGUUCGAGCCCUGGUCCAGGAAGAUCCCACAUGCCGCGGAGCAACUGAGCCCGUGCACCACGACUACUAUGCCUGUGCUCUAGAGCCUGUGAGGGACAACUACUGAGCCCGUGAGCCAUGUCUACUGAGCCUGUGAGCCACAACUACUGAAGCCCGUGCGCCUAGAGCCCGUGCUCCGCAACAAGAGAAGCCACCGCAAUGAGAAGCCCGCGCACCGCAACGAAGAGUAGCCCCCACUGCCCACGCACAGCAACGAAGACCCAACGCAACCAAAAAUAAAAAAUAAUAAUAAAUUUAUUUUUAAAAAA